GGAGGGUUCGCCUAGUGGUUUAUGGCACGCGCUUGGAAAGCGCGCGGGAGCAAUCCCUCGUGAGUUCGAAUCUCACACCCUCCG
rnacentral:tRNA from 1 species